UGUUCCCUCGUAGCCGCGUUGGAGGGUUUGUGUUCAGCCUCGGUCAUAUUCCAUUACCCAGGAGGCACGGCGGGGAAGAAAGCGGGACGCAAGCCGAGCAUCUCUCAGCCGGCUGACAGCGGGAAACGCCACCGACCAGGGGCUCAGGAGGUUCUCAUUGACCCAGGCGCCCUCACAGCGAAUGGCAUCAGUGCGGACACGAGCACUGAGAUCGGACGAGCCAAGAACUGCUUGAGUGCCGAGGACAUCAUCGAGAAAUACAAGGAGGCCAUCUCCUACUAUGGGAAGGU